UACGGAGGGUGCAAGCGUUAUCCGGAUUCACUGGGUUUAAAGGGUGCGUAGGUGGGUCUGUAAGUCCGUGGUGAAAUCUCCGAGCUUAACUUGGAAACUGCCAUGGAUACUAUAGGUCUUGAAUACUGUGGAGGUCAGCGGAAUAUGUCAUGUAGCGGUGAAAUGCUUAGAUAUGACAUAGAACACCAAUUGCGAAGGCAGCUCGCUACACAUAUAUUGACUCUGAGGCACGAAAGCGUGGGGGAUCAAACAGG
rnacentral:rRNA from 1 species